ACUAGAUGGGAGGAGUGUAGGGAAUGCUUUCUGUGCUAGGCUCACCGCUUCCUCACACCUUCCUUCCUUCCUGCCUCCCUCUCCUUCCAAGCUGGCCCCAGGCACAGCCCUGACAAAGGUCAAACCAACUGAGGAUGCUGGGGAAGAGGGGCAGGAGUUUUAAAGAGGAACAAUCUGAAACCAUGGGGCUGGGAAAAGCUGCCAGAAAAUCAGGAUGGAUUUGGGGACAGUGGCCCUUUCUGUCCACUCAGCUGUCCUGUCGGACUGAUGACUUGGAGCCCGCAGUUCAGAAGACUCCUCAUGGGAUGCCCCACCCCACAGAGUGGGGGUGUGGUGGGCGGCCGGAUGCGUAGUCCAGGGACGUUUGUGAUUUGGAGUGUGCUAGACUAUGUGUAUAAGUCACAUGGGUGUGUGUCACUGUGUGUGCUGGCGUGCCUUAUAGGUGUGCGUGUUUCCCUGUCAGUUUUGACACGGAUUAUAUGAAAUUAAUAAGGGUUUUUACGUUAGAUAUACAUCACUUCUCUACACCCCCAGCUCCUCCUUCCCUCUGGACAAGCUUUCCGCCAAGCCCACCUCUUCCCCAGGUGCAGUGAGCUGGGGGUGAGGGCACAUGGUACCAGCCGCCCGCGGAACCGAGACAGGGCUGGGCCGGGAGACCGCCAGCGGAGGCGAGUCCGAAGCCUGAGCGGGGAGGGAGGGGCGGGCGCUGGCCUGGCCGAGCCGGCUGGGCGGGAAGCAGGCUGCAUCCUAAUCCACAGGCCCCGGUCCGACUCCCAAACUGCCGUUCAGCGUGGAACGGGCUGGCCGGAGCCACGCCGCCUCCAGCACACGCUCGGCGCUCGGGACGCACCGACCGAGGGACGGACCCCGUGAGGCCUGACACAAAGUGGACUCGUCCGGGGUCCCCACACUCCCCGUCUGGCCCCCGGUGUCCCAGAUCGUUGCCCCUCCAAGCCUAGACCCCGAAAUCUGCCCCUUCCCCGCGACAUGUCUCCUCUCCGCCCCUCUCACCGCCUCUGGAGCUGAGCGCUCAGGGCGCGGGCACUCCUGAGUCCCCGGUUCCUAAGCAGCGUCCGGAACCUCCUCCUCGGCUCCCGCCGCCGCCGCCGCCGCUUCUGCCGCCGCCGCCGCCUCUUCCGCCCGCGGAGCCGGAGCCCGAGCCCAGCGCCGCUCACUCCACCCGGCUGGCCGGUGAUGGCACCCUCCUCCCCUUUUGACCUUUGGAUGACCACGGUGCCUAGGACCCCUGGGAGGCACAGAGAAACAUUUACUAGGGACAACUUUUGAGUGUCAGACCCUGUGGACACAAAGAAAAAGCUUGGGUUCCUGCCUUCAAGGGGCUCACAGUUGAGUGGGGAAGACAGACACGUAAAUGAAGAACAAUAACAGACUGUGCUGAGUACUGGAAUGGAAGUGCAGCAGGAACUCAGAAGAGGUCAUCACUGGAGGGGCCACCUCUGGGAAGGCUUCACCAAGGAAGUAUAAUUGGAGCUCUGUCUUGAUGUUCAAAUAAGAGCUGCAGAGAGGGUGCUAUCGAGCAGCACAUAAUCACUUAAUUACAUAUUGCUUUGUAUUCUUCUUCGAUUGUUUAGUAUGCUUGUCUUGACUUCUCCGUGAGGCUAAUCAGCUCAAGAUCAGGGACAGGCCUAGCACUCUCUGUUCUCCCAGAGCCUAACAGUGGCCCUGGACAAACACCAUGUGUUCAGAAAAGGCUUGUUGACUUGAAGCAGAUUAACAAUCCAGGCUUCUCUGGGAAAGCUGCCUGGAGGAACCCCAGUCCCCACUAUAAGAGUCCCCCAGCUCAUCCCUAGCAAGGCACCCACAUCUGAAUUCCCCAUCAGUGGCCACCUCCUCCUGCCAUAGGGGUGAGACUUCACCAAAAUACACUUGUUCAUGCUGCCCCAGAUGUCUUUAUUGAGGCCUCUCAUUUGACCCAAAUACAUUAACAAGUGAUUGCUGAGAUACAGUCCCAAACACAGUAUUCUCCCUUCCUUCUGGCCAAGGACAGGACAGUCAGAAAGAUACAGGAUUAGAGAGAGUGGGGGAAAGCUGUGCAUAGAUGGAGGGAACAGAACAGAGAUGGGGCCCAUAUAUAUGGCUAGAGGAGAAUCACAAGAAAGAGUAUGGAGAGUGAUGGAAGAGACACAUAAUAGAUACAAGUAAGUUAUGGGAUAAGAAACAGAAGUCAGAUAAGAGAGAGCUGGCCUGGUGUCUAGGGAAAAGUAGCUCAUUUGCUCAUCAAAUGAGGGGGAUCAGUGUCUCAGCACCCAGCAUAUAGACCCCAGUUAGCUCUAUGGCAGAGAAUAACCUAGUCUCCCUGGAGGAACUCAGGGAAGGACAAGGGAAGGCAGGAGAGAGCAUGAAAAGACCAGUGGGGCUGAAAGAUGGUUGCCAUAGCAACUAGUCAUCAUCAUCAUCGUCAUCGUCCUCUGUGUUGAUCUCGCCCUCCAGGACAUCCUCCAGCCAGUCCUCCAGCUCCUCAGCAGAAGGCAGGUCCUCCUCAUCGUCCAUUUCCAUCCAUACGCUAUCCGCCUAGGAGAUGGCACAGGCAGGGACGGAAGCUAAGUCCAACCCGGGUCUUAGGAUCUGUCUUCCCACUCACUGGACUCUGUACAUCCUUCCCUACAUUCUCAGUCCCUUCCUUUCAUCUGCCAAAGGCCAGGGAAACUGUCCAGGUGAAGGUAUGGGUUAUGGGUUAGAAUAGUGACAGGUGAGAGUGGGAAGAAAAGUUGGAUUGGCAAAUAGACCUUCUCCCUUCAAUCUGUCUCCCGUGCUCUUGCCACACUGAACUUCCCUAUUAUGCCUUUGGUGCAAAACCACUGGUAGCUCUUCAUGGCUUAUAAGAAUAAAGUUAGCAACUCUUCGGCAUUCAGGACAUUUCUUUCUUUCUUUCUUUUCUAAAAGAGACAUGGUCUCACUCUAUUGCCCGGGCUGAAGCGCAGAGGGGCAGUCAUGGCUCACUGCAGCCUUGAACACCUGGCCUCAAGUGAUUCUCCCACCUUGGCCUCCCAAAAUGCUGGGAUUACAGGCCUGAGCCACUACCCUGGCCCCAGGGCUUUUCAUAACCUGCUUUUCUAGUACCAUUCUCAGUGAUCUCUAGACUCUCAACCAUAAAAAUCCACCUGCCUUUUCCGGGAACCUGAUAUUCAUUUUCCUGUUUUUAACUUUUGAUCUUGCUUUUUCCUCAGUUUGGAAAUGACUUCCCUGAAUCAUCACUUGUUGAAAUCGUAUACAUUGUAGAAUCUCCAUUUUGAAUAUCACUUUUUCUUAAACUUUUCUCUGAUUCUGUCAAGCAGAAAUCAAUGUGAUCCUGUGUCUUAUUUGUAUCGUUAUUAUAAAGUUUAUCAGA
rnacentral:lncRNA from 1 species